rnacentral:rRNA from 1 species
GAUGAACGCUGGCGGCGUGCUUAACACAUGCAAGUCGAACGGAAAGGCCCAAGCUUGCUUGGGUACUCGAGUGGCGAACGGGUGAGUAACACUUUGGUGAUCUGCCCUGCACUUCGGGAUAAGCCUGGGAAGCUGGGUCUAAUACCGGAUAGGACCACAUUUUGGAUGGUGUGGUGGAAAGUUUUUCGGUGUGGGAUGAGCUCGCGGCCUAUCAGCUUGUUGGUGGGGUAAUGGCCUACCAAGGCGUCGACGGGUAGCCGGCCUGAGAGGGUGUACGGCCACAUUGGGACUGAGAUACGGCCCAGACUCCUACGGGAGGCAGCAGUGGGGAAUAUUGCACAAUGGGCGCAAGCAUGAUGCAGCGACGCCGCGUGGGGGAUGACGGCAUUCGGGUUGUAAACUCCUGUCGCUAGGGACGAAGCGAAAGUGACGGUACCUGGAGAAGAAGCACCGGCUAACUACGUG